ACUGAGUGGCAAACGGGUGAGUAUAAUGUGGGAAUCUGCCUUUUGGUUCGGAACAACACGGGGAAACCUGUGCUAAUACCGGAUAAGUCCUUACGGAGAAAGUUUUAAUGCCAAAAGAUGAGCCCGCACUUGAUUAGCUAGUUGGUAAGGUAAUGGCUUACCAAGGCAACGAUCAAUAGCUGUUCUUAGAGGAAGACCAACCACACUGGAACUGAGACACGGUCCAGACUCC
rnacentral:rRNA from 1 species